UCCCUGACCCAGCAAGGGUUUUUAAAUGUUUGAAGUGUUCUGGACGUGAAACCCACAGAAAGAUAACUACGCUAUUAUUAUAAUUAUCUCCUCCAGCCAGAAUCAAUGUGUUUUUCACCAAAACUCCAGAUUUGUUUUCCAUCUAAGAGAUGAAAAACACCUAAGAGAUUCUCCCAUUUAAGAGAUUCUCCUGCUUCAGCCUCUUGAGUAGCAGGAAUUACAAGCGUCCGCCACUACGCGCAAGCCCGGCUAAUUUUUGUAUUUUUAGUAGAGAUGGGGUUUCACCCUGUUGACCUGGCUGGUCUGGAACUCCUGACCCCAGGUGAUCCGCCCGCCUCCGGCUCCCAAAGUGCUGAAAUUACAGGCAUGAGCCACCGCGUUGGGCUUCAAAGCACUGUUUAAUAUCCCCUAAUUAUGCACAGAACAGCGUAACUGUAUGAUUAUAGGACAGGAUUACUCAGUGAUACUAUUAUUUGGGCCUUGUAGAAUAGAAGAAGGGAGAAAAUUGGAUUUAAACAGAGCAGGAUAAUUUUGAUCUUAUAAAGUGUAGAGCAUCAAAGCAGUUUGCUAGCUUGAAUUUUAAAAAUUAUUUCAUUGAUGUUAAUUAUGAAGUGUAAGAAUUUUUAAAUGGUAAAAAUGACUGAUUUGGUCAUUAAACUUUCUGAUUUUGGUCUUUACCAAAAAUAAAAAAACUCCACACUUGUUCCUGAGCCUAGUGUUCUGUGGAAUAACAAUUGUAAAUUAAGGCUUUAAAUUUAGAGGCUAAAUAAGGAAAUUCUGUUUUCGUUUGUUUGUUUGUUUUUGAGACAAAGUCUCGCUCUGAAAUCCAGGCUGCCACUGACUGUGGGGGCUCGAUCAUGGAUCACUGCAACCUUGACCUCCAAGGCUCAAGCCAUCCUCCUGCCUCAACCUCUGGGGUAGCUGGGGCUACAGGGGGAAAUUUGGACGCAGAGACAGGCCGAAUGCCAUGUGAACAUAAAGGCAGAAAUCAAUGUGACAUGUCUAUAAGUCAAGGAACCCCAAAGACUGCUAGGAAAGAAACAUGGAACAGAUUCUCUCCCACAGCCUUCAGAAGGAAUCUUCCUUGCCAGUGCCUUGAUCUCAGACUUCUACCCUUGACAAAAAAUUUAUAUUGUGUAAGCCACCUAGUUCAUACUAUUUUGUUACGGUAGCCCUAGCAAACAAACAAAUAUGUAUCCUUUCCUUGAAUUCACUUAUUAUUACCGUUUAAUUUCAUUUGCUUUAUUAUUUGUGCAAAGGCUCUCUCUCUCUCUCCCCAUAAAUAUGUAUGUAUGUAUAAUAUUUAUACUGAAUAAUUUGAGAAUAAAUUUUAUACAUCAUAGCUCUUUAGUCCUAAACAUUUCAGCGUAUAUUUUAUAAGAAAAUUGUUAUAUAUAUAUAUAUAUAUAUAUAUAUA
rnacentral:lncRNA from 1 species